AAUCCCUCCUGUACUA
rnacentral:tRNA from 1 species